UGUUCUACAAGGGAGUUUUUGACUGUUCCAAAGGAUACGUUAUUCUUUUUUGUCUCCUUUUCUUUUUCUGGAAGCUUAUAUUAUAAUAUUCAGUCAUAUGGACUUUUGGAGGAGUUACAACGCUAACAAAUUAACAGACAUCAUGCUAUUAAUGAUAUAGAUAAUAAAUUUCUAUCGCGAUUUUCAGCUGCGUCAGAAAUCACGAUUUUUCAAAAACAUUGUGCUACCGGUUAACAUUUUACCCAUUCAUAUUGUCGGUUUUGUUUCCUAAUUACGAAUUACAACACCUGUAGAAUUAGCUAUCGAUUCCAGUAUCUGCGGAAGAACAAGUUCCAAGAUCAUAGUCGAUUAUCUGCUAUGGAUUGAGUUGGCAAACUGAUCAUAGCUCAUUUAAU